rnacentral:rRNA from 1 species
CCUACGGGUGGCUGCAGUGGGGAAUUGUUCGCAAUGGGCGCAAGCCUGACGACGCAACGCCGCGUGGAGGAUGAAGGUCUUCGGAUUGUAAACUCCUGUUGACCGGGACGAAUGGCCCCCGAGUGAAUAGCUUGGGGGAGUGACGGUACCGGUUGAGGAAGCCACGGCUAACUCUGUGCCAGCAGCCGCGGUAAUACAGAGGUGGCAAGCGUUGUUCGGAAUUACUGGGCGUAAAGGGCGCGUAGGCGGCCGCCUAAGUCAGACGUGAAAUCCCC